CCCUUAGAUGUCCUGGGCCGCACGCGCGCUACAAUGACUCUCUCAGAAAGUUUUUCCUGGUCUGGAAAGAUACAGGGUAAUCUUUGUAAUAGGAGUCGUGUUAGGGAUCGAUCUUUGCAAUUAUAGAUCUUGAACGAGGAAUGCCUAGUAAGUGCAGUUCAUCAGACUGUACUGAUUACGUCCCUGCCCUUUGUACACACCGCCCGUCGCUACUACCGAUUGAAUGGUUUAGUGAGGACUCCUGAUUGGCGCCGCCGCCCCGGCAACGGAGCAGCGGACUGCCGAAAAGUUGUUCAAACUUGAUCAUUUAGAGGAAGUAAAAGUCGUAACA
rnacentral:rRNA from 1 species